rnacentral:lncRNA from 1 species
GACGGGGUUUCACCGUGUUAGCCAGGAUGAUCUCGAUCUCCUGACCUCGUGAUCCACCCGCCUCGGCCUCCCAAAGUGCUGGGAUUACAGAUAUUCCACUAUUUUUUAUCAUAAUUGUGUGGACUGACUGGAUUCAGCUGGGUGAUUUGCACUCGGAGUCUCUCGCGUGGCUGCCGUCUUCUGAAGGCUGGACGUCCCACAUGGCUUCUUUACUAAUACAUCUGGUGCUUCAGCUGGGACAGCUGGGACAGCUGGCGGCUGCACAGGCAUCUCGCUCUUUGCACACAGGCUCCCCAUAUGCUUAGUUUGAGCUUGGUGAUUUUAAAGUAGUUGAACUUAGAUGGCAGCUGGCUUCCCUCAGAGUAAAUAUGCCAAGAUACCCAGGUGGAAGCUGUAAGGUUUCUAAUGACCUAGUCUGAGAUUUCACACCAAGAUGGCUUCCGUCAUAUUCUGUUGGUCAAAAAUAAGCCACACGGUGGGGCAUGGUAGCACACACCUGUAACGCCAACACUUUGGGAGGCCAAGAAGGGUGGAUCGCUUGAGCCCAGGAGUUCGAGACCAGCCCGGGCAACAUGGUGAAACCCCGUCUCUACAAAAGAAUACAAAAAUUAGCUGGGCAUGUUGGCACACCUCUGUGGUCUCAGCUACUUGGGAGGCUGCGGUGGGAGAAUCUCCUGAGCCCAGGGAAGUUGAGGUUUCAGUAAGCCAUGAUCAUGCCACUGCACUCCAGUCUGGGUGACAGACUGAGACCCUAUCUCAAAAAAAAUAAAAGCUACAGGUCAACCCAGAUUCAAGGGGAUAGGAUUACACAAAGUCACAGAUUCAGGAAGGUAUAAUUUAUUGGGGAACCGUCUUUGGAGACUAGCUACCACAAUCUGUCACCAUCUUUUAGAUAAGACGAUCAACAUAUUUCUGAGUAUACUUUAGAUUUCCACUAUCAGUGCAUUUUCUGAAACUUCCCCAGUCUUAGCACUGAAGGUCCUGCACCCCAGGAAAUAUCUAUCAGUCUUUGUCAAACCAGGAUGGUUGGUCACCCUACUUUUAGACCUCCUCAUUUUCAUGAACUCAAUAUUGCAUAAGGUUGAUCUUCCAAAAACAUGUAUCUGCCUUAAAAUUGUGAUUUCCAUCCUGAUGAGGUCUCCUCAUAUUCCUUUGUCUUUCUGGUUUGUAUAGGAUCCACUUGACUUCAGAGCUGUAGAAAUCCAAUAAUAUGGCAGUGAUGAUGCAUUCUUUUAUUGGCCCACAGUUAUUAUUUUAAUCCAAGAUACAGCUGAACACCAUAUCUUAGAUCUAAACUCUCAUACAAUAAGCCUUAAAAUGUAACUAAUAUAAAUCUGGGAGUUCAUAUGACCCUGCCUUGGUGGGAGUGACAUAUUCAAAAAACCAACAAUUUGACAAAAAAUAUAACCUAAAAACAAUUCAAGUUGUAUUUGGACUGUGAACACCAAUACGGUAUUAGUGUUAAUACAUACAUGCUUGUUACCUUAUUACAAUAGCAUAAAAUAUCACAAAGUAGAAAGAGUUCUGGGUAGACAGGAGUCCUGCUGAGUAGCUCUGUGCCCUGGGUGGGGGUUAUGAGGAAGGGUUCCCAGGUCUGCUUCCUCCACCCUGAGGUCACCAUUAAAGUUGGAAGAUGACUUAAAAAUCAGACAGCAUCAAUCCCCUUCAAUAGUUUUCUAUGGUGUAUGUGUUCAUUAAAUUCUGGGUCAUUGAACGGUCAUGGAUAACCUUAAUCUCUCUUAGCCUCAAUGUCUACUAACAUAGUUCAUAUUCUGUUAAAGUUAUGAGCAUUCGUAUUCUAAGAUUUGUAUUGAAUAUAGAUGAUAGAUUAAAAUUUUAGUGACAAAUCUUGAUGAUUCUGUAGGAACUUUUCCAUGUGAUAAAUCUUCUUUUCAUGCUAUCUUGGCUUCAGCAGAAUGGC